AUGUUCAGUUUGUCACUGUGGAAGCCCUGGAGAAGUAUCUUGGUUGCUGCUGGCAGAGGUUAUCAGGCCCACGGAUUUCUUCAAAAUAUAGGGCAUGUGAAGAGUCGCUUGGCCUGGGGGCCGGGAGAUCCUCCACCGCCUUGGAAGUUGAGAUCAGCCAGGCGCCAGGGGCGACCCAGGACAGAAGAUGAUUAUCUGCAGAUGAGAGGGAGGAAAUUCUUCUUUCCCCAGUUUUCUCUGCUAACAACACUGUGGGAUGAAGCAAGAAGAUGGCAAACAGUCUGCAAACCAAGAAGACCUCUUUAUUUGAUAAACGAAAUACAUUUAUUUCAGACAAUGGGAGUUCAUGACUCAGAAUGUCUAUUUGAAUCCCAGCCCUGAUACUUACUAUGUGUUAUCCUAAAGUAAUUAUUAACCUCUUGAAGUUUUUUUUCUUCAUCUCUAAAGUGGGUUUAAGUAAUACCUUAUGGAGUUAUUAUGAAAAUUGAAUAAGAGAAUUCACAUAAAGUUAUUGACAACAAUCAUAAUAUUAUCAGAGGUUGGUGUUAUUACUCGGGGAUUUUAUGUAAUGUGAAAAAGACACUGUUCCCACUCUCGAGGAUUUUAUGACCGGAAUGAGCUACUUCUUAGCUUAAUGAGUGAUUCUAGAUGCAAGAAGACUGUCAUAUGGGGGGCUGCAUUGUCUGUACUUAAUGGUAAAGUGCAUGUGUAUUUCUAAGUACUUUAUCACUAUUUGCUGUGCCAGAUGUCCUUCUACAUCUCAUUUAUAUUCAGCAUGCUUUUUCUGAUAUGAAAUCUUUCUUAUAUAUUGCUCUUUUUUUUUCAUUUGGCAAUCUUAGGUUUGCUAUGUAGUAACAUGUCAAAUAAUUUGAAAUUUUGUUCUUGGAGUUAUCAUAUCCUACUCAUUUCACUAAAUACAAAUGAAAAAAAUGAAAAAAAUAAAUACAAAUGAGAAAUUCA
rnacentral:lncRNA from 12 species